AUCCUGGCUCAGAUUGAACGCUGGCGGCAGGCCUAACACAUGCAAGUCGAAUGGUAACAGGAAACAGCUUGCUGUUUCGCUGACGAGUGGCGGACGGGUGAGUAAUGUCUGGGAAACUGCCUGAUGGAGGGGGAUAACUACUGGAAACGGUAGCUAAUACCGCAUAACGUCGCAAGACCAAAGAGGGGGACCUUCGGGGCCUCUUGCCAUCAGAUGUGCCCAGAUGGGAUUAGCUAGUAGGUGGGGUAACGGCUCACCUAGGCGACGAUCCCUAGCUGGUCUGAGAGGAUGACCAGCCACACUGGAACUGAGACACGGUCCAGACUCCUACGGGAGGCAGCAGUGGGGAAUAUUGCACAAUGGGCGCAAGCCUGAUGCAGCCAUGCCCGCGUGUAUGAAGAAGGCCUUCGGGUUGUAAAGUACUUUCAGCGGGGAGGAAGGGAGUAAAGUUAAUACCUUUGCUCAUUGACGUUACCCGCAGAAGAAGCACCGGCUAACUCCGUG
rnacentral:rRNA from 1 species